rnacentral:rRNA from 1 species
GCUUACGGCCAUAUCAGCCUGGGUACGCCCGAUCUCGUCUGAUCUCGGAAGCUAAGCAGGGUCGGGCCUGGUUAGUACUUGGAUGGGAGACCGCACUGGGAAUACCAGGUGCUGUAAGCA